rnacentral:lncRNA from 1 species
AUGCUGCGUGCUGCUCCUGCGCUGGGAUCGGUGCGUCCCCCACGUCCCUCGGGAGGGCAGCAGUGCCGGUGCCAGGGCAUCUCCGGGCACGGGCUGCUGCCUUGCUGGGAAGGGCUCGGAUGCUUCCCCUUCUGUUGCCCACAGCGCGACGUGUGGAUCGCUGCAGGCCCGGCUGGCGCAGCCCCAGGCAUGCCGGGCUGCCUUGCCUUUGGCUCCCCAUCCCACGCGCUGCAACUCUGGAAAAGCCCGGCGGAGCCCCGCUGCCGCUUCCCCUUUCCGAGUUCCCACUCGCCGCGUCACCGGCCAGUGCGGAGGCGGCUCUUGCGCCACGGGCCGGGGGCUCGCGGCCCUGCCGUUCGCCCCCAGACAGGGGUCCCCAGCGCCCCGUGUCCCCACGGCACCGCCUGCCCCGUCCCGCAGGGACCCCGUGUCCCGCGCCGCUCCCUCCGGGCGUCCUGCCCCCGCGGGCCAGCCUGGACCGUGCGCUGGGGCUGCAGGACCCAUGGGAGCAGCUGGGGACGCUGCGCAGCCCCGCCGAGGCAGGGAAGGGUCUGGGAGCCCGUCGGCGUGACUCAGAGCCGAAGGGGAACUGAGAGCGCUGUUGCGGGGCGGCGCCUGCUCCGUGCCCCAACCUGCGACCAGCCCCAUGGCGCUGGGGAAGGGGGACCCCUGCCCCGGACCGUGCGGGGAGAGCGGAGCGCCCAGCACGGAUUUGCACUCCCGCGGGGGCAACGCCAGCGCCUCCUCGGGGCGCAAACCCUUUCCCUGCGGCGCAGGGCCACACCAGGGCGAGGGCAGGCGUGCACCCGGUGGGGAUGUGCAGUCCCACCUGCAAACCCGGGGGUCUGCRGCCCCGUCCGUGUGCACAGCCCCAUCCACACGUGCCCGAGGAUGCACAGCCCAUCCAUGUGCCCGGGGAUGCACAGCCCGUCCAGGAGCGUGGGGAUGCACAGCCCAUCCACACAUCCCGAGAUGCACAGCCCAUCCAGGAGUGCGGGGAUGCACAGCCCAUCCACACAUCCCGGGAUGCACAGCCCGUCCACAUGUCCCGGGAAGCACGGCCCAUCCACGCACCCAUGUGCACCCCGUGCGCACCCAGGGGCGAUGCAGCCGCAGGGCAGCGCAGCUCCCGGGACCCAGCGGCUUCGCAGGCUCGGAGCAGCGCUGGGCCCGGCUGAGCCCGGUCCCGUGCCCCCACGCCACCGGGUGCCACCGGGUGCAACAGGGUGCAGGGAGGGCAAUGCUUGUUUUCUGUCCAGCUUUGUGUUUACAGCUUUCAACUUCCCUCCAGCCGGUUCCCACAGAGAUGCCCGUGUCGCCAUAGUUACCGGAACGAAUAUUCCUGCUCUUGGCAGUAAACAGCCUGCAAGAAGGCAGAUUUCCGUGGUAAAAUGCUGGGGGUUGCUACACCCAAGGAAAAUGUUGCAAUGGCAACUUCUCCCUCCCCGUCCUGCCCAGGGCUGGCGGCUGUGGGAAACGGCCCCCGGCUGGGAACGGCAGCGCCGGGCACCGUCGGAGCCGCUGCAGGGGCACCAGGAGGAGGAAAAGAGAGAACUUGUCCCAGCUUCUCCUGGGAGCAGCCGAAACCCCUCCAUCGCCUGCACUGCGGGUGCCAGGAGCGCGUGCCGGCUCCCCCUCGAGCAUCCCGGCCUCGGGGACCUGCAGCCGGGGACAGACCCAGCACGGAGCCCGGCACGGGCUGGCCACAGCGCAAGGGCUGCGGCUGCUGGGCAGCAGGGAAGAGCCCACGGCAGCUUGGCCCCGGGCAAGGCCGCGAUCGCGGAGCCACGGACGUGCCGGGGCGGCGCUGGGCUCCGGGCGGGAGCAGAGCUCCGGAGCCGGUCGYGCAGAAGCCCGGCAGAGCCCCGGUGCCUGGCUGAUGCAGGUUGA